rnacentral:rRNA from 1 species
AGAGUUUGAUCCUGGCUCAGGACGAACGCUGGCGGCGUGCCUAAUACAUGCAAGUCGAGCGAAUCAAUAGGAGCUUGCUCCUAUUGAUUAGCGGCGGACGGGUGAGUAACACGUGGGCAACCUGCCUGUAAGACUGGGAUAACUUCGGGAAACCGGAGCUAAUACCGGAUAAUCCUUUUCCACACAUGUGGGAAAGCUGA